rnacentral:rRNA from 1 species
GGAACGUCUCAGUUCGGAUUGUAGUCUGCAACUCGACUACAUGAAGCUGGAAUCGCUAGUAAUCGCGAAUCAGAAUGUCGCGGUGAAUACGUUCCCGGGUCUUGUACACACCGCCCGUCACACCAUGGGAGUUGGGAAUGCCCGAAGCCGGUGACCUAACCGAAAGGGAGGAGCCGUCGAAGGCAGGCUUGAUAACUGGGGUGAAGUCGUAACAAGGUACC